GACGAACGCUGGCGGCGUGCUUAACACAUGCAAGUCGAACGGUGAACCAGGGCUUGCCCUGGGGAUCAGUGGCGAACGGGUGAGUAACACGUGGGCAACCUGCCCCUGACUCUGGGAUAACUCCUCGAAAGAGGUGCUAAUACCGGAUACGACCACUCCGGGCAUCCGAUGGUGGUGGAAAGAAUUUUGGUCAGGGGAUGGGGCCCGCGGCCUAUCAGCUUGUUGGUGGGGUAACGGCCCACCAAGGCGACGACGGGUAGCCGGCCUGAGAGGGCGACCGGCCACACUGGGACUGAGACACGGCCCAGACUCCUACGGGAGGCAGCAGAGGGAAAUAUUGCGCAAUGGGCGAAAGCCUGACGCAGCGACGCCGCGUGAGGGACGACGGCCUC
rnacentral:rRNA from 1 species